rnacentral:rRNA from 1 species
UACGGGGGGGAGCAAGCGUUGUUCGGAUUUACUGGGCGUAAAGGGCGCGUAGGCGGUCAGCACAAGUCAGUUGUGAAAUCUCCGGGCUUAACUCGGAAAGGUCAACUGAUACUGUGCGACUAGAGUGCGGAAGGGGCAACUGGAAUUCUCGGUGUAGCGGUGAAAUGCGCAGAUAUCAGGAGGAACACCAAUGGCGAAGGCAGCACUCUGGGACGUGACUGACGCUGAGACGCGAAAGCGUGGGGAGCAAACAGG